rnacentral:lncRNA from 1 species
UGGUAAUGAAUCUAAUUUUAUUAAUUUAUAAGUCAAUAUUAUAAAAUAUAUCUGUUGGUGCAAAAAUCCGCUUGCGCCGGAGAAGCUAGAGUCGGGGAAGUCGCGGUUGCCGUCGGGACCUGCAAGGAAAGUCUAAUCCGGAGGUGGGGUUGCUCCGGCAAGACCCUCCGACGCUCAAGUCAGUUCUCUGCCUCAACAAGAAUGGAGCGCUCGAACGAAGAAUUUAGCAGAGUUUUGAGAUAAGAAAAUGAGCUUAGAGAAUAACGUAUCUGGGUCCCCCUUUUUAUAGGCGGAGGAGGUAACGGAUUGAUGGCGACGUUUGUAACCGUCUGGUAGUGGGCCGCCCAUAGUCAGGGGGAAUUUAUUACGAAGGGUAGUGGAGCAAAAUCGUGGCUAUCGCCGUAGCUCGCCACGUGGAAUCAGUUGCGAGGAGUGGAGCAGCGUCCGUUGUCGUGACUUGCCAGCGGAUGAGAGAAUCGCCCGGUAUCCAUCGCAGGAGGUGGAGCAGGAUCGUGGCCGUUAUUGUGGCUUGUCAGAGGGUAGUGGAGCUGUGCGGAAUCCACCACAGGAAGUGGAGCAGAACUGUGACAGUUACUGCGGCCCGUCAGGGAGUGAUGGAGCUGUGCAGAAUCCGCCAUAGGAAGUGGAGCAGGAUCGUGGCCGUUA